rnacentral:rRNA from 1 species
AGAGUUUGAUCCUGGCUCAGGACGAACUCUGGCGGCGUGCCUAACACAUGCAAGUCGAGCGAGAUGCUUAUGACGAAUUCUUCGGAUGCCUGAUUAAGCGGAAAGCGGCGGACGGGUGAGUAACGCGUAGGCAACCUGCCCUUCACAGAGGGAUAGCCUCGGGAAACCGGGAUUAAAACCUCAUAAUGCCACUGAAAGACAUCUUCCGGUGGCCAAAGAUUUAUCGGUGAAGGAUGGGCCUGCGUCUGAUUAGUUAGUUGGUGGGGUAACGGCCUACCAAGGCGACGAUCAGUAGCCGACCUGAGAGGGUGAUCGGCCACAUUGGAACUGAGACACGGUCCAAACUCCUACGGGAGGCAGCAGUGGGGAAUAUUGCACAAUGGGGGAAACCCUGAUGCAGCAACGCCGCGUGAAGGAAGAAGGCCUUCGGGUCGUAAACUUCUGUCCUUGGGGAAGAAACAAAUGACGGUACCCUUGGAGGAAGCCCCGGCUAAUUCCGUGCCAGCAGCCGCGGUAAUACGGAAGGUCCGGGCGUUAUCCGGAUUUAUUGGGUUUAAAGGGAGCGUAGGCGGUCUGUUAAGCGUGUUGUGAAAUGUUGGUGCUCAACAUCUGCACUGCAGCGCGAACUGGCGGACUUGAGUUGGCUGAAAGUAUGCGGAAUUCGUGGUGUAGCGGUGAAAUGCUUAGAUAUCACGAAGAACUCCGAUUGCGAAGGCAGCAUGCUGUAUCCUUACUGACGCUGAAGCUCGAAGGUGCGGGUAUCGAACAGGAUUAGAUACCCUGGUAGUCCGCACGGUAAACUAUGGAUGCCCGCCUGUGGCGAUAUAUGUCAGGCGGGCCAAGCGAAAAGCGUUAAGCAUCCCACCUGGGGAGACGACCGGCAACGGGGGAAACUCAAAGGAAUGAACGGGGGCCCGCACAAGCGGAGGAACAUGUGGUUUAAUUCGAUGAUACGCGAGGAACCUUACCCGGGCUUGAACUGCACAGGACUGAUACAGAGAUGUUGAUUCCCUUCGGGGCCUGUGCGGAGGUGCUGCAUGGUUGUCGUCAGCUCGUGCCGUGAGGUGUCGGCUUAAGUGCCACAACGAGCGCAACCCCUUUCGUCAGUUGCCAUCAGGUUUUGCUGGGCACUCUGGCGACACUGCCACCGUAAGGUGCGAGGAAGGUGGGGAUGACGUCAAAUCAGCACGGCCCUUACGUCCGGGGCUACACACGUGUUACAAUGGCAGGUACAGAGGGCCGGCGCCUGGCAACAUGCGUCCAAUCCUUAAAGCCUGCCUCAGUUCGGAUUGGGGUCUGCAACCCGAACCCAUGAAGCUGGAUUCGCUAGUAAUCGCGCAUCAGCCAUGGCGCGGUGAAUACGUUCCCGGGCCUUGCACUAAGGGCCCGUCA